UUAAGCGACUAAGCGUACACGGUGGAUGCCCUGGCAGUCAGAGGCGAUGAAGGACGUGCUAAUCUGCGAUAAGCGUCGGUAAGGUGAUAUGAACCGUUAUAACCGGCGAUUUCCGAAUGGGGAAACCCAGUGUGUUUCGACACACUAUCAUUAACUGAAUCCAUAGGUUAAUGAGGCGAACCGGGGGAACUGAAACAUCUAAGUACCCCGAGGAAAAGAAAUCAACCGAGAUUCCCCCAGUAGCGGCGAGCGAACGGGGAGCAGCCCAGAGCCUGAAUCAGUGUGUGUGUUAGUGGAAGCGUCUGGAAAGGCGCGCGAUACAGGGUGACAGCCCCGUACACAAAAAUGCACAUGCUGUGAGCUCGAUGAGUAGGGCGGGACACGUGGUAUCCUGUCUGAAUAUGGGGGGACCAUCCUCCAAGGCUAAAUACUCCUGACUGACCGAUAGUGAACCAGUACCGUGAGGGAAAGGCGAAAAGAACCCCGGCGAGGGGAGUGAAAAAGAACCUGAAACCGUGUACGUACAAGCAGUGGGAGCACGCUUAGGCGUGUGACUGCGUACCUUUUGUAUAAUGGGUCAGCGACUUAUAUUCUGUAGCAAGGUUAACCGAAUAGGGGAGCCGAAGGGAAACCGAGUCUUAACUGGGCGUUAAGUUGCAGGGUAUAGACCCGAAACCCGGUGAUCUAGCCAUGGGCAGGUUGAAGGUUGGGUAACACUAACUGGAGGACCGAACCGACUAAUGUUGAAAAAUUAGCGGAUGACUUGUGGCUGGGGGUGAAAGGCCAAUCAAACCGGGAGAUAGCUGGUUCUCCCCGAAAGCUAUUUAGGUAGCGCCUCGUGAAUUCAUCUUCGGGGGUAGAGCACUGUUUCGGCUAGGGGGUCAUCCCGACUUACCAACCCGAUGCAAACUACGAAUACCGAAGAAUGUUAUCACGGGAGACACACGGCGGGUGCUAACGUCCGUCGUGAAGAGGGAAACAACCCAGACCGCCAGCUAAGGUCCCAAAGUCAUGGUUAAGUGGGAAACGAUGUGGGAAGGCCCAGACAGCCAGGAUGUUGGCUUAGAAGCAGCCAUCAUUUAAAGAAAGCGUAAUAGCUCACUGGUCGAGUCGGCCUGCGCGGAAGAUGUAACGGGGCUAAACCAUGCACCGAAGCUGCGGCAGCGACGCUUAUGCGUUGUUGGGUAGGGGAGCGUUCUGUAAGCCUGCGAAGGUGUGCUGUGAGGCAUGCUGGAGGUAUCAGAAGUGCGAAUGCUGACAUAAGUAACGAUAAAGCGGGUGAAAAGCCCGCUCGCCGGAAGACCAAGGGUUCCUGUCCAACGUUAAUCGGGGCAGGGUGAGUCGACCCCUAAGGCGAGGCCGAAAGGCGUAGUCGAUGGGAAACAGGUUAAUAUUCCUGUACUUGGUGUUACUGCGAAGGGGGGACGGAGAAGGCUAUGUUGGCCGGGCGACGGUUGUCCCGGUUUAAGCGUGUAGGCUGGUUUUCCAGGCAAAUCCGGAAAAUCAAGGCUGAGGCGUGAUGACGAGGCACUACGGUGCUGAAGCAACAAAUGCCCUGCUUCCAGGAAAAGCCUCUAAGCAUCAGGUAACAUCAAAUCGUACCCCAAACCGACACAGGUGGUCAGGUAGAGAAUACCAAGGCGCUUGAGAGAACUCGGGUGAAGGAACUAGGCAAAAUGGUGCCGUAACUUCGGGAGAAGGCACGCUGGUGUGUAGGUGAAGUCCCUGCGGAUGGAGCUGAGACCAGUCGAAGAUACCAGCUGGCUGCAACUGUUUAUUAAAAACACAGCACUGUGCAAACACGAAAGUGGACGUAUACGGUGUGACGCCUGCCCGGUGCCGGAAGGUUAAUUGAUGGGGUUAGCGCAAGCGAAGCUCUUGAUCGAAGCCCCGGUAAACGGCGGCCGUAACUAUAACGGUCCUAAGGUAGCGAAAUUCCUUGUCGGGU
rnacentral:rRNA from 1 species